rnacentral:rRNA from 1 species
AACGAACGCUGGCGGCAUGCCUAACACAUGCCAGUCGAACGAGACCUUCGGGUCUAGUGGCGCACGGGUGCGUAACGCGUGGGAACCUGCCCUUAGGUUCGGAAUAACUCCCCGAAAGGGGUGCUAAUACCGGAUAAUGUCUUCGGACCAAAGAUUUAUCGCCUUUGGAUGGGCCCGCGUUGGAUUAGCUGUUGGUAGGGUAAAAGCCUACCAAGGCGACGAUCCAUAGCUGGUCUGAGAGGAUGAUCAGCCACACUGGGACUGAGACACGGCCCAGACUCCUACGGGAGGCAGCAGUGGGGAAUAUUGGACAAUGGGCGAAAGCCUGAUCCAGCAAUGCCGCGUGAGUGAUGAAGGCCUUAGGGUUGUAAAGCUCUUUUACCCGGGAUGAUAAUGACAGUACCGGGAGAAUAAGCUCCGGCUAACUCCGUG